AUUGAACGCUGGCGGGAGGCUUUACACAUGCAAGUCGAGCGAGCGGCGGACGGGUGAGUAAUGUAUGGGGACUGCCCGGUAGCGGGGGAUAACUACUGGAAACGGUGGCUAAUACCGCAUACUAUUGGAUAACCCAUAUGGGAUUAGCUAGUAGGUGGGGUAAAGGCUCACCUAGGCGACGAUCUCUAGCUGGUCUGAGAGGAUGAUCAGCCACACUGGGACUGAGACACGGCCCAGACUCCUACGGAGGCAGCAGUGGGGAAGUUUGCACAAGGGGCGAAACCCUGAUGCAGCCAUGCCGCGUGUAUGAAGAAGGCCUUAGGGUUGUAAAGUACUUUCGGCAGGGAGGCGGUACCCGCAGAAGAAGCACCGGCUAACUCCGUGCCAGCAGCCGCGGUAAUUC
rnacentral:rRNA from 1 species